rnacentral:lncRNA from 1 species
CCGUAUAUGCUUUGGUCUCUGACAUUAUGGCACAAAAUCUUAUAAUUUUGUCCUUAAAAAAAUAUCAUAUGUGGGAGAGAGAGAUCAUAUCCUAUAUAAAUUAGAGUUUCUCUCGACUCAUAAUCAAUGUGGGGCCAAUGAUAUUCUCUUCAUAUAUUGUACCAUAAUAAAUAGCACUAUAGACUUUUUAACUAUUCAUUUCAAAGCUACAACCUAAGCAGCA